rnacentral:rRNA from 1 species
AUCUAUGGCCAUGCCACCUUGAAUGUGUCUGAUCUUAUCUGACUUCAGAAGCUAAGCAGGGUCGGGCCUGGUUAGUACUUGGAUGGGAGACCACCUAGGAAGACCAGGUGCUGUAGCAU